GACGAACGCUGGCGGCGUGCCUAAUACAUGCAAGUCGAACGCAGUGGGGACGGGUGAGUAACACGUGGGUAACCUCCCAUCAGAGGGGAUAACACUUGGAAACAGGUGCUAAACCGAUACUGAUGGAUGGCCCCGGGGUGCAUUAGCUAGUUGGUGAGGUAACGGCGUACCAAGGCCACGAUGCAUAGCCGGACUGAGAGGGUGAUCGGCCACACUGGGACUGAGAAACGGCCCAGAAUCCUACGGGAGGCAGCAGUAGGGAAUCGUGGGCAAUGGACGAAAGUCGGACCGAGCAACGACGCGUGAGUGAAGAAGGGUUUCGGAUAGUAAAGCUCUGUUGUUAGAGAAGCGGUAUCUAACCAGAAAGCCACGGCUAACUACGUGCCAGCAGCCGCGGUAAUUC
rnacentral:rRNA from 1 species